UUCAUGUGACUCCAGCUUCAGAAGACACAAGAUUGAGAUGGAUUGAGUUCAUAUAUGAUGGCAACGUUCCUGCCACCACUUUGAAUCGGACUGUUUUAUCAACCUGGGCCAAUAUAAUGCUGGAUUCUCUAAAAGGUUGUUAUUGAAAGAGGGGUCGGUGCCAUCUUUCCAUCGCAAUACUGAAGACGAGGGAAAUGCAAGCACAUCUGUUCACGGUGCUAGGCUACAUCACGUAGCAUGCCAGACGGACCCACCACAGAUGCGCACACAUGGAACGCAGCUUUCUAUGAAAACACUGCGACCUCACUACAAAAGUACAGGCACACAGAAAACUGUGCUGCACUGAUGUUGGUGUUGGGACCUCAGCUGUAAGAGACCUUGCUUGGAGGAGGGAGAGGACAACCCAAGUUGUUCAAGUAUGGACUUCGGAGAGCCACAGGAUGCUACCUAUGAUCCUGAUGACUCAAUCACAGUCUUGACUGAGUCAGCAGAUGUGACAAUGGAAUCUUCCAACCCUGUUCAUAAGACACCCACAUAUAUUGUCUAUGAAAACUGCCUCCUGGAGCUGUUUGAGGUUUGUCCUGUGUGUCGGCGGGGGACAGAUGUAAUAUAUAAGAAGGGCGAGUGCACAGCAAAGC